AUUUUUGAAAUGUGAAUAAUUUUUAUGUUUUGCAUAAAAAAAAUUGAAAAAUUUAUUUUUUUUCAAUUUUUAAUUUACACAGGUGUUGCAUGGCUGUCGUCAGUUCGUGUUGUAAAAUGUUUGGUUAAUUGCUUAAAACGAACGUAACCCCUUUUUCUUUGUUAAAUUUUCAAAGAACAUUGCCAGUGAAAUACUGAGAUGAAAGGGAGGAUGAGGUCAAGUCAGUAUGACCCUUAUAAAUUGGGGCCACACACGUGCUACAAAGGUAAAUACAAAAAAGACGCAAUUAUGUGAAUAAAAGCAAAAUCUUUAAAAUUUAUCUUAGUUCAGAUUAUUCUCUGUAACUCGAGAAUAUGAAGUAGGAAUCGCUAGUAAUCGUAAAAUCAUCAAGUUACGGUGAAUACGUUAUCAAAAUCUAGUACACACCGCCCCGUUCACGCCAUGGAAAUUAGUUUAAUUUGAAGUUUUGACUUUUA
rnacentral:rRNA from 1 species